AGCGAACGCUGGCGGCGUGCCUAACACAUGUAAGUCGAACGUGAAAGGGAGCAAUCCCAAGUAAAGUGGCGUACGGGUGAGUAACACGUAGGUAAUCUACCCCAGAAUCUGGAAUAACCGGCCGAAAGGCUGGCUAAUACUGGAUAGAGCGACGGAAUCCGUAAUUGGGUUUUUCGGGAAAGGGAGCCUGUAAAAAGGCCUUCGUUCUGGGAUGAGCCUGCGUCCCAUCAGCUAGUUGGUGAGGUAAAAGCUUACCAAGGCAAUGACGGGUAGCUGGUCUGAGAGAACGAUCAGACACACUGGAACUGAAACACGGUCCAGACUCCUACGGGAGGCAGCAGUGGGGAAUCUUGCGCAAUGGACGAAAGUCUGACGCAGCAACGCCGCGUGAGUGAAGAAGGCCUUCGGGUUGUAAAGCUCUGUCGAGUGGGACGAAAAUGCUUGGAGUUCACAGCUCCAGGAACUGACGGUACCACUAAAGGAAGCACCGGCUAACUCCGUG
rnacentral:rRNA from 1 species